rnacentral:rRNA from 1 species
UCGAACGCUUUGUCUUUAAUUGAUCUGACGAGCUUGCUCUGAUUUGAUUUUAUCUGACAAAGAGUGGCGAACGGGUGAGUAACACGUGGGUAACCUACCUCUUAGCAGGGGAUAACAUUUGGAAACAAGUGCUAAUACCGUAUAAUACCAACAACCGCAUGGUUGUUGGUUGAAAGAUGGUUCUGCUAUCACUAAGAGAUGGACCCGCGGUGCAUUAGCUAGUUGGUAAGGUAACGGCUUACCAAGGCAAUGAUGCAUAGCCGAGUUGAGAGACUGAUCGGCCACAAUGGGACUGAGACACGGCCCAUACUCCUACGGGAGGCAGCAGUAGGGAAUCUUCCACAAUGGGCGCAAGCCUGAUGGAGCAACGCCGCGUGUGUGAUGAAGGGUUUCGGCUCGUAAAACACUGUUAUAAGAGAAGAACGGCACUGAGAGUAACUGUUCAGUGUGUGACGGUAUCUUACCAGAAAGGAACGGCUAAAUACGUGCCAGCAGCCGCGGUAAUACGUAUGUUCCAAGCGUUAUCCGGAUUUAUUGGGCGUAAAGCGAGCGCAGACGGUUAUUUAAGUCUGAAGUGAAAGCCCUCAGCUCAACUGAGGAAUGGCUUUGGAAACUGGAUGACUUGAGUGCAGUAGAGGAAAGUGGAACUCCAUGUGUAGCGGUGAAAUGCGUAGAUAUAUGGAAGAACACCAGUGGCGAAGGCGGCUUUCUGGACUGUAACUGACGUUGAGGCUCGAAAGUGUGGGUAGCAAACAGGAUUAGAUACCCUGGUAGUCCACACCGUAAACGAUGAGUGCUAGAUGUUCGAGGGUUUCCGCCCUUGAGUGUCGCAGCUAACGCAUUAAGCACUCCGCCU